UAUGUUUGUGUGUGUGUGUGUGUGUGUGUGUGUGUGCAUAUAUGCACACACACACACACACACACAUACACAUAUGCACACACACAUA
rnacentral:miRNA from 1 species